CACGUAGGGCGCAAGCGUUGUCCGGAAUUAUUGGGCGUAAAGAGCUCGUAGGCGGUCUGUUGCGUCCGCUGUGAAAUCUCGGGGCUUAACCCCGAGCCUGCAGUGGAUACGGGCAGACUAGAGGUAGGUAGGGGAGAAUGGAAUUCCCGGUGUAGCGGUGAAAUGCGUAGAUAUCUGGAGGAACACCGGUGGCGAAGGCGGCAUCCUGGACCGGUAUUGACGCUGAGGCGCGAAAGCUAGGGGAGCAAACGGG
rnacentral:rRNA from 1 species